UACGCAGGGUGCAAGCGUUACUCGGAAUUACUGGGCGUAAAGCGUGCGUAGGUGGUUUGUUAAGUCUGUUGUGAAAGCCCCGGGCUCAACCUGGGAAUGGCAAUGGAUACUGGCAGGCUAGAGUGCGGUAGAGGGUAGUGGAAUUCCCGGUGUAGCGGUGAAAUGCGUAGAGAUCGGGAGGAACACCAGUGGCGAAGGCGGCUACCUGGACCAGCACUGACACUGAGGCACGAAAGCGUGGGGAGCAAACAGG
rnacentral:rRNA from 1 species